rnacentral:sRNA from 1 species
GCACUAUUGUCGGGAGUGCGGUGUUCAACUUGACUUGCAUUAUCGGCGGCACUGCAAUUUUUUCGACAAAGCCACUGGAGCUUGAUUGGCGGCCUCUCAGUCGGGAUUCGCUUUGCUAUGCAAUUUCAAUUGCGAUCUUAGUCGUUUGCAUUAACGAUCACGUGGUCACUGCUGCGGAAUC